rnacentral:rRNA from 1 species
UACGUAGGGUGCGAGCGUUAAUCGGAAUUACUGGGCGUAAAGCGUGCGCAGGCGGCUUUUUAAGCCAGAUGUGAAAUCCCCGGGCUUAACCUGGGAACUGCAUUUGGAACUGGAAGGCUAGAGUGCGGCAGAGGGGGGUAGAAUUCCACGUGUAGCAGUGAAAUGCGUAGAGAUGUGGAGGAAUACCGAUGGCGAAGGCAGCCCCCUGGGUCGACACUGACGCUCAUGCACGAAAGCGUGGGGAGCAAACAGGAUUAGAUACCCUGGUAGUCCACGCCCUAAACGAUGUCAACUAGUUGUUGGGGGAGUGAAAUCCCUUAGUAACGAAGCUAACGCGUGAAGUUGACCGCCUGGGGAGUACGGUCGCAAGAUUAAA